AACGAACGCUGGCGGCAUGCCUAACACAUGUAAGUCGAACGAGACCUUCGGGUCUAGUGGCGCACGGGUGCGUAACGCGUGGGAACCUGCCCUUAGGUUCGGAAUAACUCCCCGAAAGGGGUGCUAAUACCGGAUAAUGUCUUCGGACCAAAGAUUUAUCGCCUUUGGAUGGGCCCGCGUUGGAUUAGCUAGUUGGUAGGGUAAAAGCCUACCAAGGCGACGAUCCAUAGCUGGUCUGAGAGGAUGAUCAGCCACACUGGGACUGAGACACGGCCCAGACUCCUACGGGAGGCAGCAGUGGGGAAUAUUGGACAAUGGGCGAAAGCCUGAUCCAGCAAUGCCGCGUGAGUGAUGAAGGCCUUAGGGUUGUAAAGCUCUUUUACCCGGGAUGAUAAUGACAGUACCGGGAGAAUAAGCGCCGGCUAACUCCGUG
rnacentral:rRNA from 1 species